UACAGGGGGGGCAAGCGUUGUUCGGAAUUACUGGGCGUAAAGGGCCAGUAGGCGGCCAACUAAGUCCGACGUGAAAUCCCCAGGCUUAACCUGGGAACUGCGUCGGAUACUGGAUGGCUUGAAUUCGGGAGAGGGAUGCAGAAUUCCAGGUGUAGCGGUGAAAUGCGUAGAUAUCUGGAGGAAUACCGGUGGCGAAGGCGGCAUCCUGGACCGACAUUGACGCUGAGGAACGAAAGCUAGGGGAGCAAACAGG
rnacentral:rRNA from 1 species